rnacentral:rRNA from 1 species
AUUGAACGCUGGCGGCAUGCCUAACACAUGCAAGUCGAGCGGAGCGGCGGACGGGUGAGUAAUGUAGGGGGAUCUGCCCGAGAGAGGGGGACAACUACUGGAAACGGUGGCUAAUACCGCAUACUAUCAGAUGAGCCUCGGUCGGAUGAGCUAGUUGGUGGGGUAAAGGCCUACCAAGGCGACGACCCGCAACUGGUCUGAGAGGAUGAUCAGUCACACUGGAACUGAGGCACGGUCCAGACUCCUACGGGAGGCAGCAGUGGGGAAUGUUGGACAAUGGGCGAAAGCCUGAGCCAGCCAUGCCGCGUGUGUGAAGAGGGUCUUCGGAUUGUAAGGCACGUUAAGUUGGGAGGCGUUACCAACAGAAUAAGCACCGGCUAACUUCGUGCCAGCCGCCGCGGUAAUAC